rnacentral:misc_RNA from 1 species
CGCAACUUGCGCUCUCUGGUAUUCCGGAGAGCAUGCCUGUUUGAGUAUCAUGAAAUCUCAACCAUUAGGGUUUCUUAAUGGCUUGGAUUUGGGUGCUGCCAGUUGCCUGGCUCACCUUAAAAGAGUUAGCGUGUUUAACUUGUCGAUCUGGCGUAAUAAGUUUCGCUGGUGUAGACUUGAGAAGUGCGCUUCCAAUCGUCCUCGGACAAUUCUUGAACUCUGGUCUCAAAUCAGGUAGGACUACCCGCUGAACUUAA